rnacentral:rRNA from 1 species
CGCGUGAGAAUUUACCUUUAGGAGGGGGACAACAGUUGGAAACGGCUGCUAAUACCCCAUAUGCUUUCGAGUGAAAUGGAUUUUUCCGCCUAAAGAGAAGCUUGCGGCUGAUUAGCUUGUUGGUAAGGUAAUGGCUUACCAAGGCGACGAUCAGUAUCUGGUUUGAGAGGACGAUCAGACACACUGGAACUGAGACACGGUCCAGACUCCUACGGGAGGCAGCAGUGGGGAAUUUUCCGCAAUGGGCGAAAGCCUGACGGAGCAAUCUCGCGUGAGGGAUGACUGCCUAUGGGUUGUAAACCUCUUUUUUCAGGGAGGAAUUAAUGACGUUACCUGAAGAAUAAGCAUCGGCUAACUCCGUGCCAGCAGCCGCGGUAAGACGGAGGAUGCAAGUGUUAUCCGGAAUCACUGGGCGUAAAGCGUCUGUAGGUGGUUUAAUAAGUCAACUGUUAAAUCUUGAAGCUCAACUUCAAAAUCGCAGUCGAAACUAUUAGACUAGAGUAUAGUAGGGGUAAAGGGAAUUUCCAGUGGAGCGGUGAAAUGCGUAGAGAUUGGAAAGAACACCGAUGGCGAAGGCACUUUACUGGGCUAUUACUGACACUCAGAGACGAAAGCUAGGGUAGCAAAUGGGAU